ensembl:snoRNA SNORD115 Small nucleolar RNA SNORD115
GGGUUGAUGAUUUGCCUUUAUACUGUCUUGAAGAGAGACGAUGACUUCAUGCUCAAUAGGAUUAUGCUGAGGCCC